AGAACAAUGCAAAUUGAAUGGCCAAAUUAGACAAUUUUUCCCAAACUGAAAUGACUUCUUCACAGAAACUUGUAACACUUGGCUUACACGUGCCGAAUACUAGUGUAACCCACUUGGGGGCAGCUGUAGUUGAGCUCUAUUAAGCUUCAAGGUGCUGCUAGAACAAUACUGGAUUAGCCCACUGGAUUCAAAUACCAAGAACUGAUGGUAUGAGCCUUCAUAUCUGUUUUUUUCUUAUGAAGCUUCUUCUGGUUGGAAACUUGUCAAAUUUCAUCAGGCUUCUUCAAUGUCUUUAAAGCAAAAUGUAAGAAAACGGAUGAUUGAGUUGACCUGAAUUUUGGGAUUGUUAAGAAAGCUGGAUUAGAAGGUCAAAGGGAUUGGGACACGAGACCACUCAGCGAUUAAACUGAAAAGGAAAGAAGUCAAGCCAAAAAACGGCUAAUAAACUGAAAGAACAGGGAGGGGUUUGGGGACUGAAAGUCUAGGGGGAGAUGGUGACAGUGGCAGAUGUGGUGGACAGAGUAGUUUCCAGUCCAAAGGUUCAGAGAUGGAGCAGCUCCAGGA
rnacentral:lncRNA from 1 species